rnacentral:rRNA from 1 species
GACGAACCGUGCGAACGUUAUUCGGAAUCACUGGGCUUAAAGCGCGUGUAGGCGGGCCGCCACGUCGGCUGCUGAAAUCCCCCGGCUCAACCGGGGAAGUGGCACCGAUACGAGCGGCCUGGAGGGGGGUAGGGGGGACUGGAACUUCCGGUGGAGCGGUGAAAUGCGUUGAGAUCGGAAGGAACGCCCGUGGCGAAAGCGAGUCCCUGGACCCUUUCUGACGCUGAGACGCGAAAGCCAGGGGAGCGAACGG